UUACGCCAGCAUCCUAGCCGAAGCGCGGACCUCAGUCCCGGCUGGCCGUAUUACACCCUGGGCUAUAACACCUCCACCGAAGUGGAGGCCACAUUCCCAGAGCCUUUAUCCGGCCGCCGAAACUGAUGCUGGCCUGUCCAAACUGAGUAAACCGGUCAGAAGACCGGCCGAACAGUUUAAACAAGUCUGAUUGCAAGCGCUUCCCUUUCAACAAUUUCACGUGCUUUUUAACUCUCUUUCCAAAGUGCUUUUCAUCUUUCGAUCACUCUACUUGUGCGCUAUCGGUCUCUCGCCAAUAUUUAGCUUUAGAAGAAAUUUACCUCCCAUUUAGAGCUGCAUUCCCAAACAACUCGACUCGUCGAAGGAGAUUUACAUAGGGUGCCAUUUCCUGUCACAUACGGGAUUCUCACCCUCUAUGACGUCCUGUUCCAAGGAACUUAGACAGGCGGCUUCCCCAAAUCAUCCUCUACAAAUUACAAUGCGAACCCGAAGGCUAGCUUUCAAAUUUGAGCUGUUGCCGCUUCACUCGCCGUUACUAGGGCAAUCCCU
rnacentral:rRNA from 1 species